GUGCUCACUUCAGCAGCAUAUAUACUAAAUUGGAAGGAUACACAGAAGAUUAGCGUUGCCCUGUGCAAGGACGACACACAAAUUAGUGAAGUGUUCCAUAUUUUU
ensembl:snRNA U6 U6 spliceosomal RNA